UUGAUAUUUUUACUCACCGGUGGGAUUUUUCUUUGCAAAAUUUCCCUCGGAUAUAAGAAAUCUCUGACCAUUCUUACUGGACGACACCAAAGUGUAUUUCCCUUCUCCACGGGGUUGAAAAACUUGAGGCACGUCGUCACAGUAUGUGGAAUUGCAGACGCAAUAAACGCUGCUUGACAUCGAAGGGUUCGUUGGUUUUCUUGGAGAACAUCUCCGAGGUUCACCGAGGGCUGUAAAAUCGAAUUUCUGACGUCAAAUUUCGUCUACCCCUAUACCAAGGACUCAACGAAUCGCAGAAUAAUUUCGACUAUUCUUGGAAUGUGAACGAGCCAUUUUCAGAGACCGAAUAAAAAAUAGCACGAAGGAAAGAAAUACAAGAGAAUGUCAAAUUGGAAAUACCUGCAAUGAUCGUCGUCGUCGUAACCGGUAGCAACUGCAGACGUGGUACUAUCUGCUCUCGUGGUCCAUCACCACCAUCGGCAGCAGCAGCAGCAGCAGCAGCAGCAG
rnacentral:lncRNA from 1 species